UACGUAGGUGGCAAGCGUUACUCGGAAUCACUAGGCGUAAAGCGCAGGUAGGAGGUUGGAUAAGUCUCUUGUGAAAGCUCCCGGCUUAACUGGGAGAGGUCAAGGGAAACUGUUCGGCUAGAGUGUGGUAGAGGAAGAUGGAAUUCCCGGUGUAGCGGUGAAAUGCGCAGAUAUCAGGAAGAACACCGAUGGCGAAGGCAGCUCUCUGGGACGGUACUGACGCUGAGACGCGAAAGCGUGGGGAGCGAACAGG
rnacentral:rRNA from 1 species